GGUAAACGGCGGCCGUAACUAUAACGGUCCUAAGGUAGCGAAAUUCCUUGUCGGGUAAGUUCCGACCUGCACGAAUGGCGUAAUGAUGGCCAGGCUGUCUCCACCCGAGACUCAGUGAAAUUGAACUCGCUGUGAAGAUGCAGUGUACCCGCGGCAAGACGGAAAGACCCCGUGAACCUUUACUAUAGCUUGACACUGAACACUGGUCCUUGAUGUGUAGGAUAGGUGGGAGGCUUUGAAGUGUGGACGCCAGUCUGCAUGGAGCCAUCCUUGAAAUACCACCCUUUAAUGGCUGGUGUUCUAACGUGGGCCCGUAAUCCGGGUUGCGGACAGUGUCUGGUGGGUAGUUUGACUGGGGCGGUCUCCUCCUAAAGAGUAACGGAGGAGCACGAAGGUCAGCUAAUCCUGGUCGGACAUCAGGAGGUUAGUGCAAUGGCAUAAGCUGGCUUGACUGCGAGCGUGACGGCGCGAGCAGGUGCGAAAGCAGGUCAUAGUGAUCCGGUGGUUCUGAAUGGAAGGGCCAUCGCUCAACGGAUAAAAGGUACUCCGGGGAUAACAGGCUGAUACCGCCCAAGAGUUCAUAUCGACGGCGGUGUUUGGCACCUCGAUGUCGGCUCAUCACAUCCUGGGGCUGAAGUAGGUCCCAAGGGUAUGGCUGUUCGCCAUUUAAAGUGGUACGCGAGCUGGGUUUAGAACGUCGUGAGACAGUUCGGUCCCUAUCUGCCGUGGGCGCUGGAGAAUUGAGGGGGGCUGCUCCUAGUACGAGAGGACCGGAGUGGACGCAUCACUGGUGUUCGGGUUGUCAUGCCAAUGGCAUUGCCCGGUAGCUAAAUGCGGAAGAGAUAAGUGCUGAAAGCAUCUAAGCACGAAACUUGCCCCGAGAUGAGUUCUCCCUGACCCUUUAAGGGUCCUGAAGG
rnacentral:rRNA from 1 species